UGGCUCAGUUGGUAGAGAAUGGUGCCUGCAACACCAGGGCUGUGGGUUCAAUUCCCAC
rnacentral:tRNA from 1 species